rnacentral:lncRNA from 1 species
AAUACAUGGACUUACUCCUUGUCACCACCCAAUUAUUGAAAAAUGUCAGCAGUGGUGACAAGCACCAGUUUCUCACCUUGGGAGAUGCAGGCUGUAUGCCAUGAGGAGACUCAAGAAGCCCUUUAGAGAGAUGUCCAUGUGGGAAACCAAGCCAUCCAUCAACAGCCAUGAUGAAAAUUUUUAAGUCACUAUAGCUGUAUAACACAUUUGCUAUAUAACAUAUAUGAAGCAAGUCAGUCCUCAUUCCCUUCUUUUUCUUCACAUUUGUUUGUGUGGUUUUACUUGCUGGUCUCGGCUUAUUCACUACUUCCUAAGAGAACCCUUCCUGUCUCCUUAAGUACACUGAAUUCUCCAGUUACAUGGAGGUAUGUUUUCU